UUGUUCUCACGCUUAAUCACCAGAUUUUAAUCUUAAUCCCCAAUCAAUACUGAGUAAUUCUAUAAAGCUAUAGAAAAUUUUAUGUUAAAACUAGUAACAAGAAGAGGACUCUUCUCUUAAAUGUAAGUGUACAUCAGAAAGGACAAACCACUGAUACUUAACACCCAUGAGUCUAAAGUAGUAACCAACCAAGAAAACUCUACUUCCACCUAUGUUAACCUAACACAAGAACAUUUAAAGAAAGAUUAAAAGAAAAAGAAGGAACUCGGCAAAUAUUAACCUCGCCUGUUUACCAAAAACAUCGCCUCUUGAAUUUUAUAAGAGGUCCAGCCUGCCCAGUGACUCUGUUCAACGGCCGCGGUAUCCUAACCGUGCGAAGGUAGCGUAAUCACUUGUUCUUUAAAUGUGGACUAGUAUGAAUGGCACCACGAAGGUUAUACUGUCUCCUUUUUCUAAUCAGUGAAACUAAUCUCCCCGUGAAGAAGCGGGGAUAAAGCUAUAAGACGAGAAGACCCUAUGGAGCUUUAAACAACAUAGCACUUGCCACACACCAUUAAAAUUCCAGAAUCUUCAAUUCUCUGAGCAAUAUGACUAUGAGUUUUUGGUUGGGGUGACCGCGGAGCAUAACACAACCUCCAUGUUGAAAGAAUCAUUUUCUAAGCUAAGAACUACAACUCUGAGCAUCAACAUAUUGACAUCCAUUGACCCAAUACACUUGAACAACGAACCAAGUUACCCUAGGGAUAACAGCGCAGUCCACUUCAAGAGCUCCUAUCGACAGUGGGUUUACGACCUCGAUGUUGGAUCAGGGUUUCCCAGUGGUGCAGCCGCUACUAAAGGUUCGUUUGUUCAACGAUAAAACCCUACGUGA
rnacentral:rRNA from 1 species